CCUACGGGAGGCAGCAGUGGGGAAUAUUGCGCAAUGGGCGAAAGCCUGACGCAGCGACGCCGCGUGAGGGAUGAAGGUCUUCGGAUCGUAAACCGCUGUCGGCAGGGAAGAACGGUCACUGUGCUAAUCAGCAGUGAAUUGACGGUACCUGCAAAGGAAGCCCCGGCUAACUCCGUGCCAGCAGCCGCGGUAAUACGGAGGGAGCGAGCGUUAAUCGGAUUUACUGGGCGUAAAGGGUUCGUAGGCGGUAUGGCAAGUCAAGGGUGAAAUCCCCGCGCUUAACGUGGGAACUGCCUCUGAAACUGGCAAACUGGAGUGUGUGAGAGGAUAGUGGAAUUCCAGGUGUAGGAGUGAAAUGCGUAGAUAUCUGGAGGAACAUCAGUGGCGAAGGCGACUAUCUGGAAAAUAACUGACGUUGAGGAGCGAAAGCGUGGGUAGCAAACAGGAUUAGAUACCCUUGUAGUC
rnacentral:rRNA from 1 species